rnacentral:rRNA from 1 species
AGAGUUUGAUCAUGGCUCAGGAUGAACGCUGGCGGUAUGCCUAACACAUGCAAGUCGAACGAUGUCUUCGGACAUAGUGGCGGACGGGUGAGUAACGCGUGAGAAUCUGCCUCUAGGAUGGGGAUAACGGUUGGAAGCGACCGCUAACACCCAAUAUGCCGUAAGGUGAAAAAUUUAUUGCCUGGAGAGGAGCUCGCGUCUGAUUAGCUAGUUGGUGGGGUAAGAGCUCACCAAGGCUUCGAUCAGUAGCUGGUCUGAGAGGAUGAGCAGCCACACUGGGACUGAGACACGGCCCAGACUCCUACGGGAGGCAGCAGUGGGGAAUUUUCCGCAAUGGGCGAAAGCCUGACGGAGCAAUACCGCGUGAGGGAGGAAUGCCUUUGGGUUGUAAACCUCUUUUCUCAGGGAAGAAGAUCUGACGGUACCUGAGGAAUAAGUAUCGGCUAACUCCGUGCCAGCAGCCGCGGUAAUACGGAGGAUGCAAGCGUUAUCCGGAAUCAUUGGGCGUAAAGCGUCCGCAGGUGGUUUCCAAAGUCUGCUGUUAAAGACUGGAGCUCAACUCCGGAACGGCGGUGGAAACUUGGAAACUAGAGUUCGGUAGGGGUAGCAGGAAUUCCCAGUGUAGCGGUGAAAUGCGUAGAUAUUGGGAAGAACAUCGGUGGCGAAGGCGUGCUACUGGACCGUAACUGACACUCAGGGACGAAAGCUAGGGGAGCGAAAGGGAUUAGAUACCCCUGUAGUCCUAGCUGUAAACGAUGGAAACUAGGUGUGGCUUGUAUCGACCCGAGCCGUGCCGUANCU